rnacentral:lncRNA from 1 species
CUCGAAUGACGUCCGCAUUUAGUCUUCAAUUACAUGUGCUUCGGGGCAUUCCCCUGAUAAAAUCAUAAUAACUAAGGGGAUGACCUCUAGCCUCAAAAAAUAAAAAUAAAUAAACAACUUAAUAUUUGCCUACCCAAGUAUGGUCGGCCUAAACAUGCUCCUAGCGGAAGUAUCAAAUAAAGAUAUUAAUUUAAACUAUAACUCAAUUGAAUAAGGUGACAUGAUAAGAACAAUAAUCAAAACUUAAAUGGUAGACCACGUCCAUGUAAAGCCCAUAAUAUCAACCCAACAUUUACUUUAAUUUCAAUUUUUAGCCCAAACCACUAUUUGUUGCCUUAAUCAAUUUUCCAAAUCAGCUCGUGAGCCACAAAUUCAAUUUAGGCAGCUUAUGUUUCAACUCCAAAUUUACCACUUUAAUGUACUAAUUUCAAAUGACAACACUAUAAAGACAAACGUGGAAAUUAAUCCAAAGGCAAUGACAAAUUCAUCAAGAAUGCAGAUUCGUUCAAACCAAAAGCAACGUAGAACACCAAUACUUCUUGCACUAGUUAAAGAAAGAGAUAAGAAAUGGACCUCAAAUGGAGCUUUGCCAAUUACAUCAGCGAUGUAUGAAUAGGAACCGGGACCAGAGCUUGACCGGAAUACCUCUAACGGAAUGCCUCGCCGACAACCUCGCUACCUUGCAAACUUCUUUACUCAAAUUUACACCUUCUUGAGUUGCAGUAUAAAUUUGGAGUUCGAUUUGAGCUUGGUACGGGAUGCUCUGUCUCUGACUGAAUUGGUGACGGGGAAAGGAGGCUGUGGCAAUUGGGUUUCUACUGUGUGAAUGUGUGUUUAUGUUGGUGGAAAAUGAAGGGACAAUGGUGACUUAAUUAGACUAUGCACAUAAGGUAUUUGUAAAAAUGCCUAGCUAAAGAAAAAUAAAUGGGAAGAUGCUGGUGGUUUGGCAAUUCCCAUGCCGGAAAGGAGAUGAAGACACAGUAGUUAUGGAUGAAAACGACAACUAGUUAGGAGUUGGGUUCAACGGCAAAAAUGGAGUUGACGCCAACAACUCAUUUUUAAGUGGUUGUCAUGGUAUUUUCCGGUGGUCUAUGGUUGGUUUUAGUGAUGGAAAAGAUAACGGUUUCAAUGGAGAAAAUGAAGGCUAACAAUGGUGUUUUCAAUAGAAAAGAAAACUGUAUGCUAAAAUGAAGAAGGUUGGCUAUUUUCUCGCCUCUCUCCCUCUAUCUAUGCGUGUGUGCGUGUUUCCGACAAGUUGUGGUGAAGGGUAGAAGGAGAAGCGAUGGGUGCUGUGUGGCUGCUGCCCUUAAGGUUGGCAGCUC